AACGAACGCUGGCGGCAGGCUUAACACAUGCAAGUCGAACGCCCCGCAAGGGGAGUGGCAGACGGGUGAGUAACGCGUGGGAACAUACCCUUUCCUGCGGAAUAGCUCUGGGAAACUGGAAUUAAUACCGCAUACGCCCUACGGGGGAAAGAUUUAUCGGGGAAGGAUUGGCCCGCGUUGGAUUAGCUAGUUGGUGGGGUAAAGGCCUACCAAGGUGACGAUCCAUAGCUGGUCUGAGAGGAUGAUCAGCCACAUUGGGACUGAGACACGGCCCAAACUCCUAUGGGAGGCAGAAGUGGGGAAUAUUGGACAAUGGGCGCAAGCCUGAUCCAGCCAUGCCGCGUGAGUGAUGAAGGUCUUAGGGUUGUAAAGCUCUUUCACCGAUGAAGAUAAUGACGGUAGUCGGGGAAGAAGCCCCGGCUAACUUCGUGCCAGCCGCCGCCGUAAGAC
rnacentral:rRNA from 1 species